rnacentral:lncRNA from 1 species
CCAGCAUCUUUCUCAGAUACUGCUGCCAAGGGUUAAAAUGUUUACAUGCCCCCUGAUUUUAAAUGGACCGGGUUGCAUGUCAAAUGCCAACGAGAGGGACAGCUGGAGUAUCUAAACCAAGAGCUUUGAUCUUGGUAUCUGUAAAAAAGAGGUCAUUUGGUCUCCCCAGGAAGCACAGACAUUUAGAAGGUCCCCGUACAACUCAUGCAAGUAUUUUAUUAACAACAAUUUCUAUUCACAUUUAGACAUCACUUGUGAACAUAAAUUCCAUGGAGCUUAUGGAAAAUGAGGAAGGCUAUCAGUCCUCGUGCACACAAUGUGCUCAGGUGAAGAAGAAGCUGACCUGUUGUGGCUGAUUUCAACGGGGAAUUAGGAGACCUCAGCAUAUAAGUCGUCCAAACAAUACCUGACUCACCAUCAAAGUUACACAAAAGCUUGAUUCAUGAAUUAAAACACAUAGUGAAUCUGAUUGUAACGCUGAUCCUCUGUGUGUUCGUAAUUAAACAACCAGUUCCUUUUAUGAAUUGAAACAAAAUUCCUUCUGGGGCAUGGCUGAAGGUUGCAUCUUCCAGAGGCAAAAAGCAAAGUGCCCCUCAGUACCCACUGCCCCCGGUGUUGAGGCUGACCACAACUGAUCCUUUUGAAGCUGCCACAAGCCCAGAGGGAAUCACAGCCUGCAGGAGACACCCAAAACAAGGAACACAAACAGGUGAAACUUCAGAGGUCUGUGUCCCUGGCUUCCAGGCAAAGCAAUGUGGAAAGAUGGAUGAUCAGAACUGCACCCUGAAAGUAAUCUGCUCAUGGAAACUGUCCUGGAAUAUUGGAUUGGGCCAGUUCUGUCAUGGUCAUGCCCAUUUUGAGACUCUCAUGUUAAUGCCACAAGAACUUCAGUCUCCUGUAUAAUAUUUCAGACAUGGAGGGGGAAAAAAAAAAAGAAGAAAUAAAGAAAAGGAAAAACCAGCCGUCUGCA